rnacentral:rRNA from 2 species
UAAUACAUGCAAGUCGAACGCGUUGGCCCAAUUGAUUGAUGGUGCUUGCACCUGAUUGAUUUUGGUCGCCAACGAGUGGCGGACGGGUGAGUAACACGUAGGUAACCUGCCCAGAAGCGGGGGACAACAUUUGGAAACAGAUGCUAAUACCGCAUAACAACGUUGUUCGCAUGAACAACGCUUAAAAGAUGGCUUCUCGCUAUCACUUCUGGAUGGACCUGCGGUGCAUUAGCUUGUUGGUGGGGUAACGGCCUACCAAGGCGAUGAUGCAUAGCCGAGUUGAGAGACUGAUCGGCCACAAUGGGACUGAGACACGGCCCAUACUCCUACGGGAGGCAGCAGUAGGGAAUCUUCCACAAUGGGCGCAAGCCUGAUGGAGCAACACCGCGUGAGUGAAGAAGGGUUUCGGCUCGUAAAGCUCUGUUGUUAAAGAAGAACACGUAUGAGAGUAACUGUUCAUACGUUGACGGUAUUUAACCAGAAAGUCACGGCUAACUACGUGCCAGCAGCCGCGGUAAUACGUAGGUGGCAAGCGUUAUCCGGAUUUAUUGGGCGUAAAGAGAGUGCAGGCGGUUUUCUAAGUCUGAUGUGAAAGCCUUCGGCUUAACCGGAGAAGUGCAUCGGAAACUGGAUAACUUGAGUGCAGAAGAGGGUAGUGGAACUCCAUGUGUAGCGGUGGAAUGCGUAGAUAUAUGGAAGAACACCAGUGGCGAAGGCGGCUACCUGGUCUGCAACUGACGCUGAGACUCGAAAGCAUGGGUAGCGAACAGGAUUAGAUACCCUGGUAGUCCAUGCCGUAAACGAUGAGUGCUAGGUGUUGGAGGGUUUCCGCCCUUCAGUGCCGGAGCUAACGCAUUAAGCACUCCGCCUGGGGAGUACGACCGCAAGGUUGAAACUCAAAGGAAUUGACGGGGGCCCGCACAAGCGGUGGAGCAUGUGGUUUAAUUCGAAGCUACGCGAAGAACCUUACCAGGUCUUGACAUCUUGCGCCAACCCUAGAGAUAGGGCGUUUCCUUCGGGAACGCAAUGACAGGUGGUGCAUGGUCGUCGUCAGCUCGUGUCGUGAGAUGUUGGGUUAAGUCCCGCAACGAGCGCAACCCUUGUUACUAGUUGCCAGCAUUAAGUUGGGCACUCUAGUGAGACUGCCGGUGACAAACCGGAGGAAGGUGGGGACGACGUCAGAUCAUCAUGCCCCUUAUGACCUGGGCUACACACGUGCUACAAUGGACGGUACAACGAGUCGCGAACUCGCGAGGGCAAGCAAAUCUCUUAAAACCGUUCUCAGUUCGGACUGCA